rnacentral:rRNA from 1 species
AGUGAACGCUGGCGGUAGGCCUAACACAUGCAAGUCGAACGGCAGCACAGUAAGAGCUUGCUCUUACGGGUGGCGAGUGGCGGACGGGUGAGGAAUACAUCGGAAUCUACUUUUUCGUGGGGGAUAACGUAGGGAAACUUACGCUAAUACCGCAUACGACCUACGGGUGAAAGCAGGGGAUCUUCGGACCUUGCGCGAUUGAAUGAGCCGAUGUCGGAUUAGCUAGUUGGCGGGGUAAAGGCCCACCAAGGCGACGAUCCGUAGCUGGUCUGAGAGGAUGAUCAGCCACACUGGAACUGAGACACGGUCCAGACUCCUACGGGAGGCAGCAGUGGGGAAUAUUGGACAAUGGGCGCAAGCCUGAUCCAGCCGUACCGCGUGGGUGAAGAAGGCCUUCGGGUUGUAAAGCCCUUUUGUUGUGAAAGAAAAGCAGCAGGUUAAUACCCCGCUGUUCUGACGGUACCCAAAGAAUAAGCACCGGCUAACUUCGUG